GAUGAACGCUGGCGGCGUGCUUAACACAUGCAAGUCGAACGUGAGAAUAGCAAUAUUUGAAAGUGGCAAACGGGUGAGUAACACGUGGGAACCUGCCUCGAAGUGGGGGAUAACGAUUGGAAACGGUCGCUAAUACCGCACGGUUCUGCUCUGAUGGGAAUGGAGCAGAUAAAGAUUUAUCGCUUUGAGAGGGGCCCGCGGCCGAUUAGCUAGUUGGUAAGGUAAAGGCUUACCAAGGCGAUUAUCGGUAGCUGGUCUGAGAGGACGAUCAGCCACACGGGAACUGAGACACGGUCUCGACUCCUACGGGGGGCAGCAGUGAGGAAUAUUGGGCAAUGGGCGAAAGCCUGACCCAGCAACGCCGCGUGGAGGAUGAAGGCUUUCGGGUUGUAAACCUCUGUCCUUGGUGACGAAAAAAAUAGACGGUAGCCAAGGAGGAAGCCCCGGCUAACUACGUAGCCAGCAGCCGCGGU
rnacentral:rRNA from 1 species